GUAGGAGACCCUGGCCCGGGCAUGGGCGGAAUUGGCGUAGUAAGGGUUGCCCUGGGAGUCCAGGUGGUUGAAGAAGACGUCGACUUCAUCCGGAGGUUAUUUCGGAAGGAGCUGUUGCAGGAGGGAGGAACGAGGCCGACCCCGCAGCCUGAGCACCCCAAAGCAAAAGGAGGAUAAAGAGGGGAACUUUGCACAUACAAAAACAGAAGAAAAAAAAAAGGCGAUGGGGUGAAAGAGUCGGCGGAGAGGAGCGGCCGUGGCCCGAUGUGCCUGGGAAGAGGGAGCCGCUGUCGGCAGCCGCGUCCUGGGAUCGCCCGGCACGGAACGACUCCAAAACGAGGAACUGUCGCUCAGGCGGAAAAACUACGGGAAAAGUGGGGUUUGAAGGCUGCAGAUUUUUCCCCAAGCGGGGUCAGGCGGGGGUGUGCGAGCCGGGGGCUCAGGGGGCCGAGAGCGGAGCAGCGCCCACCCGAGCCGUCCCGGGACAGCCGGGGUCACCCCCCACGUGCCACCAGAGACACGGGGGGUCCGUCGGGCAGGGAGUCACGAUUUUCUCCUCAUGCCCGCUGGAAGAGAAGGAUGUUUUUCUUUCCCGUUAAGCUUUCGUACUAAAGAUGUCAUCUGAAAGUCUGAGAGGAAGGGGGGACCGUGCUCUGCUCUUUUUCACGGUAACAACCAUAUCAUAUUGAAAAAUAUGAUGGACAGUGGGGAAAGAUUUCCUCCCCCAUUAAAAAAAAAAAAAGAAAAAGAAAAAAAAGAAAAUAACCCCAACCUUUUCAAUAUUGAUUCAAAAAAAAAAAAAAAAGGAGAAAAUUUUAAAAGAGAAGAAGCAGCACCAGCAGCAAGGAGAAUAUAGGCUCAGCAGCUCUCCAGGUUAGCUUCCUUAUUAUUACUAUCCAGGGGUAAUUUUUCAUCUCUGCUAGCUAAUCUUUGUUCCUUGUGAAGAUAAUGAAUAGCCCAAUCCUUAUCUCCUGGGCUCCUGGAGGCUGCUGUAGAAUGGGGUUGAACAGGGUUGAAAAUUGGUUCCAAAGUGCUGCUGAAUAAAUGGUGUUCCUUAUCUCUCGCUUCCAGAUUAUCGGAACCCUUUCAAAACUCACACAACAAAUACAGCCACCGCAUCUAAUGCAUCAUUUACCAGAGCAGAUCUCCGCGUUUGAUCGGCAGAUAGGCAAAAUCUAUGUAUUCCUUGCUUUACUUAGUAUGCAUGGAUGCGGGGCUGCUGUGCACCGGGGCUGCCCCCAGCCGGGCCCGGGACACCCCCGAGGCUCUUGGCACACGCGGGUCUUCCCUGCGGAUUCCGUGCGGUGACAAAGUGUCCCCUGGCCAUCCCCGACCCAGGGCAGCAGGGUGGGACAGCAGCUCACUGCGCAGGGUGCUGCCACACAGCCUGCUUGGAAAUUUGGGUUUGCUCUGCUGAGGCACCGGUGGAUUUGCAGGGAUGGGAGAAGAGUUGUGAACAUCAACCCGGGCACCUCAGGCACCUGCUGGAACUCACUGCUGCACCCAGAGCCUCCUUCUCCUGCAUCCCGGGGCAGGCAGUGCCUCAGGAGUGAUGAAGAGUGUGGCAGCACCUCUGUCCCCAUGCAGAAAGCCACGUCCAGGCUCAGCUGUGUCCCAGUCCUGCCCUCAGCUGGGUCAGUCUAGUGAAAACUCCCAGGGCUCCCCCAGCUUGUUACCCCCAAACCCUGCCCAGGGAGCCCUGGCAGUCCUUAGGUCCUCCACGGGCUGGGCUGGGCGAUCCCUCCAGCUCCCAGCCACAGGCACAACAGGGCACCUGAGACAGCCCAAAUUUGGGAAGAAAUUGGUGAUUCUGAGGGACAAAAAUAAACCUCACAGAAAGGGAGUUAUUUGCUCCUAGAGUUAGUGUGAAGUCUGUCCCUUCCAGCUCAGGACAGUAUCAGAUUUUUCUUCCUUUCUUUCUCCCUUCCUCUGUUUUUCAAUUUCUCUCUUUAUUUCUUGUUUCUUAGUCUGUCUUUUUUUUUUUUUUUUUUUUC